UCUACUUCAGGGUGCCAGCAGCAGACACAUGAUUCUGGAGGACAUUUUGCCAAGAGCUCAGCUAUUCCAGGAGAAGACAGACAGACUACAGCAAUGGCUUAUAUCUGUGGAUCAGGACUUAGCUGAGCUCCGUUCUGCAGAGAGAGGGAUGCUCCAUCUGCAAGAAGCCACAGGACAGGCAAAGGCAAUCAUGGAAGAGAUAAAAGCUAAGAGUAUCGACCUGGG